rnacentral:rRNA from 1 species
UACGAAGGGGGCUAGCGUUGUUCGGAAUUACUGGGCGUAAAGCGCGUGUAGGCGGGUCUUUAAGUCAGGGGUGAAAUGCCAAGGCUCAACCUUGGAACUGCCUUUGAUACUGGAGACCUUGAGUCCGGGAGAGGUGAGUGGAAUUCCACGUGUAGCAGUGAAAUGCGUAGAGAUGUGGAGGAACACCGAUGGCGAAGGCAGCCCCCUGGGUCAACACUGACGCUCAUGCACGAAAGCGUGGGGAGCAAACAGG